rnacentral:rRNA from 1 species
GCGUUACUGGACGUCUUAAACUUCGAAAGGGCGGGGUUUGGAACCGGAUUUAGAUUACCCUGGUGUUCCGCCGGGUAAACGAUGGAGCCCGCUGUUUGCUUUAAAGUAAGCGGCCAAGGGAAAACGGUAAGCUUCCCACCUGGGGGGUACCCCGGCAACGGUGAAAUUCAAAGGAAUUGACGGGGGGCCGCCCCAAGCGGAGGAACAAUGUGGUUAAAUUCGAUGAUACGCGAGGAACCUUACCCGGGCUUGAAUUGCUGAGGAAAGAUCCAGAGAUGGUGAUGCCCUUCGGGGCCUCAGUGAAGGUGCUGCAUGGUUGUCGUCAGCUCGUGCCGUGAGGUGUCGGCUUAAGUGCCAUAACGAGCGCAACCCCUCUCUUCAGUUGCCAUCAGGCUAUGCUGGGCACUCUGGAGACACUGCCCCCCCAAGGUGUGAGGAAGGUGGGGAUGACGUCAAAUCAGCACGGCCCUUACGUCCGGGGCUACACACGUGUUACAAUGGGGGGCACAGAGAGCCGGGUGCGCGCAAGCUUGCCCAAAUCCUUAAAUCCCCCCACAGUUCGGACUGGGGUCUGCAACCCGACCCCACGAAGCUGGAUUCGCUAGUAAUCGCGCAUCAGCCAUGGCGCGGUGAAUACGUUCCCGGGCCUUGUACACACCGCCCGUCAAG